UUAGAUAUGAAUUGAUAUAUGUUUGGAUACACCCACUUGAAAGUGAUUCUUAUGAGUUGAUGUUGUUUGGAUAG
rfam:Medicago truncatula strain A17 chromosome 4, whole genome shotgun sequence.